rnacentral:rRNA from 1 species
AUGUACAACGACGGUCUUGCUGCACUUGUGGUAGUCAGUGGGGAGAAAGCUAGGAACCUUGGCCUCCAAGUUCUUGCAAGGAUCAGAGGGUAUGCUGAUGUUGCUCAGGCACCUCGGCUAUUUAUAGGAGGGGACCUAGCCUUCUUUGCGUCUCGCGGCAGUGUCUUCCUUGGAUUUGUUCGUGCAACAAGGAGGGGACCCGACCUUCAUCAUGCCUCUUGUAACAAGGGUGAUCGAGGCGGAUUACCAUGCCCUGGUGGGUGUCGUGCUCUUCAACCACUUGGAAGCGGACUUCGCCGUGAAGCCUGA